rnacentral:rRNA from 1 species
GAGUUUGAUCCUGGCUCAGAUUGAACGCUGGCGGCAGGCCUAACACAUGCAAGUCGAACGGUAGCACAGGAGAGCUUGCUCUCUGGGUGACGAGUGGCGGACGGGUGAGUAAUGCAUGGGGAGCUGCCCAAUCGAGGGGGACACCAGCUGGAAACGGCUGCUAAUACCGCAUACGCCCUGAGGGGGAAAGGUGGGGACCUUCGGGCCUACCGCGAUUGGAUGCACCCAUGUGGGAUUAGCUAGUUGGUGAGGUAACGGCUCACCAAGGCGACGAUCUCUAGCUGGUCUGAGAGGAUGACCAGCCACACUGGAACUGAGACACGGUCCAGACUCCUACGGGAGGCAGCAGUGGGGAAUAUUGCACAAUGGGGGAAACCCUGAUGCAGCCAUGCCGCGUGUGUGAAGAAGGCCUUCGGGUUGUAAAGCACUUUCAGUAGGGAGGAAGGGUUGAUGUCUAAUACGCAUCAGCAUUGACGUUACCUACAGAAGAAGCACCGGCUAACUCCGUGCCAGCAGCCGUGGUAAUACGGAGGGUGCAAGCGUUAAUCGGAAUAACUGGGCGUAAAGCGCACGCAGGCGGUUAGAUAAGUCAGAUGUGAAAUC